CCUACGGGUGGCUGCAGUGAGGAAUAUUGGUCAAUGUGCGAGAGCCUGAACCAGCCAAGUCGCGUGAGGGAAGACGGUCCUAUGGAUUGUAAACCUCUUUUGUCGGGGAGCAAAAAGGCCUCGUGAGGCCACAAGUGAGAGUACCCGAAGAAAAAGCAUCGGCUAACUCCGUGCCAGCAGCCGCGGUAAUACGGAGGAUGCGAGCGUUAUCCGGAUUUAUUGGGUUUAAAGGGUGCGUAGGUUGUUUUUUAAGUCAGCGGUGAAAGUUUGUGGCUCAACCAUAAAAUUGCCGUUGAAACUGGAAGACUUGAGUGUGUUUGAGGUAGGCGGAAUGCGUGGUGUAGCGGUGAAAUGCAUAGAUAUCACGCAGAACUCCGAUUGCGAAGGCAGCUUACUAAGCCAUAACUGACACUGAAGCACGAAAGCGUGGGGAUCAAACAGGAUUAGAUACCCGUGUAGUC
rnacentral:rRNA from 1 species